CUGCUCUCAACCUGGUUGAUGUUUGUACUGGACAGGAAGGCACGCUGUGUGCUCCCCUACUGCCCUUCGUGCCGCAUCGCAGCGGCUGCGUGAGCUGCUACUGAUGGGAAGGAAACCAGCACAGUUCCUCUCUCUCCCACUCGCUCCUCUCCUCUCUUUGUUUUUUUACAGCAGCCAAGAAGUCAUUGAUUUUGAUUAGCUCUGCAGUUGUGCCUCCACGAAGACUGGGGAGUGCUCUCUAAAGGCAAAAAAAAAAAGCCCUCAUCUUGGGUUUCAGCAGCCGGCGCGUGCGAAGCCGGAGGAGGAGGAGGUUAUGAGAUCAUAGUCUAUAUAGAACGCCGCAUAAUGUGGCUGUGAGAAAAGUCUUUAUUAAUUUUUAAAGCUGCACUCCAGCAAAGCAGCUCCCGACACAUAGCAGGAUUUCACAGUUCAAGUUAAAGCAGCCGUGCAGUGCAGACUGCUCAUCAGCUGCCCUCCCCGCCUGGUAAACUCACUUGGCCGCACGGAUUCUGCUGACAGACAGCUGUGUUACACCCAGGACAGAACCGAGCCCAUCCAGAUUCCUCCUGAGAAUGACUGUAGGUAGGUAAGGAAAUAGGGAAUGGGAGCUCCACCCCUGCAGUGUGCAGGACGGCAGUGCCUGCUGUCUCGUGCCCGGGACAAAUGCCACCCAAUAGCAGUGCAGAGCAGAUCAGCCAUCGGCGAGCUGACAGCCACGGGGAGUGAGAAACCCAUCCUGCUUCUGCUUCAGCGCAUGUUGGCAUGCAGGAAUGAUCCCAGUUUAGCCCAGCCCAUUACUCAAGCAAUUGUCUUAAAUCAGAAACACUUGUUAGAUCAGCUUAAUCCGAUCUGCGGAGUCGUUUAGUUUCCAUAUCGUGCUAAAAUUAUACGAGGCUUAACUGCGCCGCAGAAGCAGCAGCAGCAGCACUCUUUCUGCUGAAAGUGAUUGGAAACAUCUGGUGUCAGCUGGUUGCUGUGUCUGCAGGCACUGAGGAGCCAGGCCUGUCCCUGCCAUGCUAGCACAGAGCCACGCACUCAGGCUGCUGUGGCCACAGCCCUCGUGGGCAGAGCAGGAGAGCAGCACCCGCCAUGGGGCAGUGCGGGAAGGGGAUGCGAACCCAAAGGAGAUCCUUCCCUUCUGCACGCCGUGUCACUGCACACAACGGCUAUGGUCAGACGGCACAACACAUCUCCCUUCGAGGCACCGGCACGUGCACUCAGAAUCCGAGGGCUGAGGCGAGUCUGAAUCAAACAGGACUUCAUCUUCUCUAGGAAAACCCUUGUCUGAAUGGCGGAGAGGCAUCUGCCUUCCCCCCGGAAUCUGCCCUGCUCUGACCACACAAGCCCUUUACAUUCAGUGUUCAGCACAGCUUUAUUGCUGCCCCACCAUAAGGCGUUAGAGCUUCUCCCCCGCCUGUCCUCCCGGCUGGAGUCCCACUCCGGCUGCACGCAGCCAUUCUCCAUCAGGACGCACUCCCAGACGUGGCUCUUCUUUCAGUACUUCAAUUUCCCAGGGUUUGCAGUGUUUACAGAAUGUGACUUUGGAGCUUGACAGACACCGAUGGUGUCUGUGCCUGGAACUGUUGGUCUCCUCCCAUUAGUGGUUACAGCUGCCACAGAACUGCACCGGGCGCUGUGUCUGGGGAUGUUCACAGCACGGCCUUUCCAAUCACUCCAGUUUGGCAAAAGAAAUCUCCCCCUUAACUCCAAUCCUUGGGACAUUUGAUGAGUGGCCGGUCUGCUCCUGGAUGCAUUUCUAACCGAACAAAAGAGAUGAGAUGCACGGAGUACACAGUUCCUUGCGCAGGUCUGGUUGGCACGGCUCACAUGUAAGCUCUUGCAGAGGCACUGUGCAAGUUUCCACCCUCAGAAAAGCAAGAGCAAAGUGUACGCCUGCUGGUGAUACAGA
rnacentral:lncRNA from 1 species